rnacentral:lncRNA from 1 species
ACACGUUUAUUUACAUACAUUUACCGAUUUCUCUUUCUUCCAAAACCUAUCUUCUCUCCAUUGUCAUCCUCUUCACUUUCAUCAUUCAAUCUCCGAAACCUCUUCAAAGUUUUGUAAAGAAAAUACAUAUUCAGUGAAAAAAAUCUUUUCCAUAGGCAAAAAUGGUGAAAAAACAUAUUACUCCCAAACGACAAAAAGUAGCCGAUAUUCCAUCAUUUGAUUUGGGUGUUUUAACACCUAAAUCUCCAGUAAAAAGACAACAA